CCUACGGGAGGCAGCAGUGGGGAAUAUUGGGCAAUGGGCGCAAGCCUGACCCAGCAACGCCGCGUGAAGGAAGAAGGCUUUCGGGUUGUAAACCUCUUUUCUCAGGGACGAAACAAGUGACGGUACCUGAUUAAUAAGCCACGGCUAACUACGUGCCAGCAGCCGCGGUAAUACGUAGGUUGCGAGCGUUAUCCGGAUUUACUGGGUGUAAAGGGCGUGUAGACGGCAGGGCAAGUCAGGUGUGAAAGUUUGCGGCUCAACCCCAGAAUUGCACUGGAAACUGUACGGCUGGAGUGCAGGAGAGGUAGGUGGAAUUCGUGGUGUAGCGGUGAAAUGCGUAGAUAUUACGAAGAACACCAAUGGCGAAGGCAGCUUACUGGACUGUAACUGACGUUGAUGCUCGAAAGCGUGGGUAGCAAACAGGAUUAGAUACCCGAGUAGUC
rnacentral:rRNA from 1 species